GUCGAGAAUCUUCCGCAAUGCGCGAAAGCGUGACGGAGCGACACCGCGUGAUGGAUGAAGUCCUUCGGGGCGUCAACAUCUUUUAUAAAGGAGGAAAUUUUUGACGUUACUUUAUGAAUAAGGGGCUCCCAAUCUCGUGCCAGCAGGAGCGGUAAUACGAGAGCCUCAAGCGUUAUCCGGAAUCAUUGGGCGUAAAGGGUGCGUAGGUGGUUUGAUUAGUCUCCCGUUAAAACUUCGAGCUUAACUCGAAAAGAGCGGGGGAAACGGUCAAACUAGAGUAUGUGAGAGGUGUGUGGAACUCAUGGUUUAGGGGUGAAAUCCGUUGAUAUCAUGGGGAACACCAAAAGCGAAGGCAGCACACUGGCACAUCACUGACACUGAGGCACGAAACCUAAGGUAGCGAAUGGGAUUAGAUACCCGUGUAGUCC
rnacentral:rRNA from 1 species